rnacentral:tRNA from 1 species
GCGGGUGUGUCCGAGUGGUUCAGGAGAAGGUCUGCAAAGCCUUAUACGUGGGUUCGAUUCCCACCACUCGCU